UGGCGUUUAUGUUAUUUAACAGCAGUUUUGUAUUUUUGAAAAGCUUCUUUGCUAUCCUUAGUUUUCCUUAAACAAUCAGUUCAAUUAUUAAUUCAAGUUAUCGCCCUCAACUUAAUUGUAAUUAGAUCCGGCUUCAUUUUUAACUACUAUCUUGUCUCCUUAAGAUUUUUAAUUUAGGUUUUUCAUUAUGGGUGAUAUCGAAGAUGAUAUGGAGAUUGAAAGGAGUGAAGUUAAUAAUGAACUACCCAGCAGUUCAACUUCAUCGUCUGGUGGUAAAAAACGUUUCGAGGUUAAAAAGUGGAGCGCUGUAGCUUUAUGGGCUUGGGACAUUGUCGUUGAUAAUUGUGCUAUUUGCCGUAAUCAUAUCAUGGAUCUCUGUAUAGAAUGUCAAGCUAAUCAAGCCUCAGCUACUUCACAGGAAUGUACAGUAGCUUGGGGAGUUUGUAAUCAUGCUUUCCACUUUCACUGUAUCUCAAGAUGGUUGAAAACAAGACAAGUUUGUCCAUUGGAUAAUCGAGAAUGGGAAUUCCAAAAAUAUGGUCAUUAGUGAAUUUUUUAAAUAAUGUUGGCAUCACGAUUAAAAGCAUUUUCUAUUUAA